rnacentral:rRNA from 1 species
UUAUGCUAAUAAGAGCGUAUGGUGGAUGCCUUGGCACUAAGAGCCGAUGAAAGACGUGAUAAGCUGCGAAAAGCUUCGGGGAGGAGCAAAUAUCCUAUGAUCCGGAGAUCUCUGAAUGGGGAAACCCACCUGAGCAAACCUCAGGUAUCCUAACGCCAAUACAUAACGUUAGGAGGGGAACCCGGUGAACUGAAACAUCUAAGUAGCCGGAGGAAGAGAAAACAACAUGUGAUUCUGGAAGUAGCGGCGAGCGAAACCGGAAGAGCCCAAACCGGAGUGCGUGCACUCCGGGGUUCGGACCGCGGAAUUGAUCCAAAAGACUUAACAGAACGGCCUGGGAAGGCCGGCCAGAGAGGGUGAAAGCCCCGUAAGUGAAAGGUCGAUUGGCAUGGCGGUAUCCAGAGUAGGUCGAGACACGUGGAACCUUGACUGAAUACGCGGGGACCACCCCGUAAGGCUAAAUACUCCUUAGUGACCGAUAGCGCAUAGUACUGUGAAGGAAAGGUGAAAAGGACCCCGGGAGGGGAGUGAAAAAGAACCUGAAACCAUAUGUUUACAAGCUGUGGAACCACUUUAAAUGUGGAACCGCGUACUUUUUGUAGAACGGUCCGGCGAGUUACGCUGGCUGGCGAGGUUAAGUCCUUAAGGGAUGGAGCCGAAGGGAAACCAAGUCUGAAUAGGGCGAAGAGUCAGUCGGAGUAGACCCGAAACCGGGUGACCUAUCCAUGUCCAGGAUGAAGUUGCCGUAAAAGGCAAUGGAGGUCCGAACCCACAUCCGUUGAAAAGGGUGGGGAUGAGGUGUGGAUAGGGGAGAAAUUCCAAUCGAACCCGGAGAUAGCUGGUUCUCCUCGAAAUAGCUUUAGGGCUAGCCUCAUACAAGUCUUGCGGAGGUAGAGCACUGAAUUUCCUAGGGGGCGUCAAAGCUUACCGAAGAAUAUCAAACUCCGAAUGCCGCGUAGAUGGUGUAUGGGAGUCAGACUGCACGAGAUAAGUUGGGUAGUCAAAAGGGAAAGAGCCCAGACCUGCAGCUAAGGUCCCAAAAUGUGUGUUAAGUGGAAAAGGAUGUGGGAUUUCGAAGACAACUAGGAUGUUGGCUCAGAAGCAGCCAUACAUUCAAAGAGUGCGUAAUAGCUCACUAGUCGAGAGGUCCUGCGCCGAAAAUGUCCGGGGCUGAAACACACUACCGAAGCUCAGGAAUGUACUUGUACAUUGGUAGAGGAGCAUUGUAUACGGGAAGAAGCAGUACCGAUAAGGAGCUGUGGACUGUAUAGAAGAGAGAAUGCCGGAAUGAGUAGCGAGAGGAAGGUGAGAAUCCUUCCGGCCGAAUAUCUAAGGUUUCCAGAGUAAAGCUGAUCUGCUCUGGGUAAGUCGGGGCCUAAGGCCAGGUCGAAAGACGUAACCGAUGGACAACAGGUUGAAAUUCCUGUACCGCGAUAUAACAGAACUGUGGGGACACGUGUGGAGAGCACAAGCCGGGAAUGGAAAGCCCGGCGCAAGCAAGGUAGGAGUCGUACCGGCAAAUCCGUACGGCAAUCCGAAGAUGUGAUGCGUACCGAAUUAAGAGUAGGGAAGAGUGUGAGCCAUGCGUCAAGAAAAGCCGCUAUUGUUUGUAUCGCGCCCGUACCGUAAACCGACACAGGUGGAUGAGGAGAGAAUCCUAAGGCCGACGGGAGAAGCAUUGUUAAGGAACUCGGCAAAAUGACUCCGUAACUUCGGGAGAAGGAGUGCCACUGAGAGGUGGCCGCAGAGAAUUGGCCCAAGCAACUGUUUAGCAAAAACACAGGUCUAUGCAAAACCGAAAGGUGAAGUAUAUGGGCUGACGCCUGCCCGGUGCUGGAAGGUUAAGGGGAGAGGUUAGCGCAAGCGAAGCUUUGAACUUAAGCCCCAGUAAACGGCGGCCGUAACUAUAACGGUCCUAAGGUAGCGAAAUUCCUUGUCGGGUAAGUUCCGACCCGCACGAAAGGCGUAAUGAUUUGGGCACUGUCUCAACAA